rnacentral:rRNA from 1 species
GAGUGGAUUAGCGGCGGACGGGUGAGUAACACGUGGGUAACCUGCCUCAAAGAGGGGGAUAGCCUCCCGAAAGGGAGAUUAAUACCGCAUAACAUUAUUUUAUGGCAUCAUAGAAUAAUCAAAGGAGUAAUCCGCUUUGAGAUGGACCCGCGGCGCAUUAGCUAGUUGGUGAGGUAAGGGCUCACCAAGGCGACGAUGCGUAGCCGACCUGAGAGGGUGAUCGGCCACAUUGGAACUGAG